GAUGAACGCUGGCGGCGUGCCUAAUACAUGCAAGUCGAGCGAACAGACGAGGAGCUUGCUCCUCUGACGUUAGCGGCGGACGGGUGAGUAACACGUGGAUAACCUACCUAUAAGACUGGGAUAACUUCGGGAAACCGGAGCUAAUACCGGAUAAUAUAUUGAACCGCAUGGUUCAAUAGUGAAAGACGGUUUUGCUGUCACUUAUAGAUGGAUCCGCGCCGCAUUAGCUAGUUGGUAAGGUAACGGCUUACCAAGGCAACGAUGCGUAGACGACCUGAGAGGGUGAUCGGCCACACUGGAACUGAGACACGGUACAGACGCCUACGGGAGGCAGCAGUAGGGAAUCUUCCGCAAUGGGCGAAAGCAUGACGGAGCAACGCCGCGUGAGUGAUGAAGGUCUUCGGAUCGUAAAACUCUGUUAUUAGGGAAGAACAAAUGUGUAAGUAACUAUGCACGUCUUGACGGUACCUAAUCAGAAAGCCACGGCUAACUACGUG
rnacentral:rRNA from 1 species